CCUACGGGAGGCUGCAGUGAGGAAUAUUGGUCAAUGGACGAGAGUCUGAACCAGCCAAGUAGCGUGAAGGAUGACUGCCCUAUGGGUUGUAAACUUCUUUUAUAUGGGAAUAAAAUGUUCCACGUGUGGGAUUUUGUAUGUACCAUAUGAAUAAGGAUCGGCUAACUCCGUGCCAGCAGCCGCGGUAAUACGGAGGAUCCGAGCGUUAUCCGGAUUUAUUGGGUUUAAGGGGAGCGUAGGUGGAUUGUUAAGUCAGUUGUGAAAGUUUGCGGCUCAACCGUAAAAUUGCAGUUGAAACUGGCAGUCUUGAGUACAGUAGAGGUGGGCGGAAUUCGUGGUGUAGCGGUGAAAUGCUUAGAUAUCACGAAGAACUCCGAUUGCGAAGGCAGUUCACUGGACUGCAACUGACACUGAGGCUCGAAAGUGUGGGUAUCAAACAGGAUUAGAUACCCUAGUAGUC
rnacentral:rRNA from 1 species